UACGUAGGGUGCGAGCGUUAAUCGGAAUUACUGGGCGUAAAGCGUGCGCAGGCGGUUUUGUAAGCCAGGUGUGAAAGCCCCGGGCUUAACCUGGGAAUUGCAUUUGAGACUGCAUAGCUAGGGGGCGGAAGAGGGAAGCGGAAUUUCCGGUGUAGCGGUGAAAUGCGUAGAUAUCGGAAGGAACACCAGUGGCGAAAGCGGCUUCCUGGUCCAGCACCGACGUUCAGGCACGAAAGCGUGGGGAGCAAACAGG
rnacentral:rRNA from 1 species